rnacentral:rRNA from 1 species
AACGAACGCUGGCGGCGUGCUUAACACAUGCAAGUCGAGCGGGAAAGUUUCCUUCGGGAAGCGAGUACAGCGGCAGACGGGUGAGUACAACGUAGGUAACCUACCCUCGAGACCGGGAUAACCUGUCGAAAGACGGGCUAAUACCGGAUAAGACCACAAGGGCUGCGGCCUUUGAGGUAAAAGAUGGCCUUUGCUUGCAAGCUAUCACUUGGGGAUGGGCCUGCGCGCCAUUAGCUAGUUGGNGAGGUAACGGCUCACCAAGGCAAAGAUGGCUAGCUGGUCUGAGAGGAUGGCCAGCCACACUGGGACUGAGACACGGCCCAGACUCCUACGGGAGGCAGCAGUGGGGAAUAUUGCGCAAUGGGCAAAGCCUGACGCAGCGACGCCGCGUGGGU